rnacentral:rRNA from 1 species
GAUUGAACGCUGGCGGCAGGCCUAACACAUGCAAGUCGAACGGUAACAGGAAGCAGCUUGCUGCUUCGCUGACGAGUGGCGGACGGGUGAGUAAUGUCUGGGAAACUGCCUGAUGGAGGGGGAUAACUACUGGAAACGGUAGCUAAUACCGCAUAACGUCGCAAGACCAAAGAGGGGGACCUUCGGGCCUCUUGCCAUCGGAUGUGCCCAGAUGGGAUUAGCUAGUAGGUGGGGUAACGGCUCACCUAGGCGACGAUCCCUAGCUGGUCUGAGAGGAUGACCAGCCACACUGGAACUGAGACACGGUCCAGACUCCUACGGGAGGCAGCAGUGGGGAAUAUUGCACAAUGGGCGCAAGCCUGAUGCAGCCAUGCCGCGUGUAUGAAGAAGGCCUUCGGGUUGUAAAGUACUUUCAGCGGGGAGGAAGGUGUUGAGGUUAAUAACCUCAGCAAUUGACGUUACCCGCAGAAGAAGCACCGGCUAACUCCGUGCCAGCAGCCGCGGUAAUACGGAGGGUGCAAGCGUUAAUCGGAAUUACUGGGCGUAAAGCGCACGCAGGCGGUCUGUCAAGUCGGAUGUGAAAUCCCCGGGCUCAACCUGGGAACUGCAUUCGAAACUGGCAUGCUAGAGUCUUGUAGAGGGGGGUAGAAUUCCAGGUGUAGCGGUGAAAUUGCUUAGAGAUCUGGAGGAAUACCGGUGGCGAAGGCGGCCCCUGGACACAGACUGACGCUCAGGUGCGAAAGCGUGGGGAGCAAACAGGAUUAGAUACCCCUGGUAGUCCACGCCGUAAACGAUGUCAGACUUGGAGGUUGUGCCCUUGAGGCGUGGCUUCCGGAGCUAACGCGUUAAGUCGACCGCCUGGGGAGUACGGCCGCAAGGUUAAAACUCAAAUGAAUUGACGGGGGCCCGCACAAGCGGUGGAGCAUGUGGUUUAAUUCGAUGCAACGCGAAGAACCUUACCUACUCUUGACAUCCAGAGAACUUUCCAGAGAUGGAUUGGUGCCUUCGGGAACUCUGAGACAGGUGCUGCAUGGCUGUCGUCAGCUCGUGUUGUGAAAUGUUGGGUUAAGUCCCGCAACGAGCGCAACCCUUAUCCUUUGUUGCCAGCGGUUAGGCCGGGAACUCAAAGGAGACUGCCAGUGAUAAACUGGAGGAAGGUGGGGAUGACGUCAAGUCAUCAUGGCCCUUACGAGUAGGGCUACACACGUGCUACAAUGGCGCAUACAAAGAGAAGCGACCUCGCGAGAGCAAGCGGACCUCAUAAAGUGCGUCGUAGUCCGGAUUGGAGUCUGCAACUCGACUCCAUGAAGUCGGAAUCGCUAGUAAUCGUGGAUCAGAAUGCCACGGUGAAUACGUUCCCGGGCCUUGUACACAC